rnacentral:snRNA from 1 species
AAAAAGGGUGCUUGCUACUACAUAGCACAUUUAUGUUUAUACAUACGUGGGGUAUGGCAAUCAAGACAUACCCAGCACGUAAUUUUUGUUAACGGGAAGCUGUUUCUAGCCAUUGAGCAGAGGCGCCUCC